rnacentral:rRNA from 1 species
GGAUUAGAUACCCUGGUAGUCCACGCCGUAAACGUUGGGUGCUAGGUGUUGGGACAUUUCGCGUCUCAGUGCCGUAGCUAACGCGUUAAGCACCCCGCCUGGGGAGUACGGUCGCAAGAUUAAAACUCAAAGGAAUUGACGGGGGCCCGCACAAGCGGUGGAGCAUGUGGUUUAAUUCGAUGCAACGCGCAGAACCUUACCUGGGUUUGACAUCCUCGGAUCGAUACAGAGAUGUAUUUUCUUCUUCGGAAGUCGAGUGACAGGUGCUGCAUGGCUGUCGUCAGCUCGUGCCG